GACACGUGUCUAUAUAAAAUAUUCCACAAUUUGCGUAUAAUUUCGUAUGUACGACAAUGAAACAGCUUUCAUUGAUUGUUGAAUCUCUUGGAAGCUGAAGAUGCCAAUUGAGAAUGGAUGAAAUUUAUUUAUUAAGAUGAUUUAUCCUCGCUUCAGGAUGAUCAUUGUGCUCCAUUCUUAUCUGAA